rnacentral:rRNA from 1 species
AGUGAACGCUGGCGGUAGGCCUAACACAUGCAAGUCGAACGGCAGCACAGUAAGAGCUUGCUCUUACGGGUGGCGAGUGGCGGACGGGUGAGGAAUACAUCGGAAUCUACUUUUUCGGGGGGGAUAACGUAGGAAAACUUCCGCUAAUCCCGAAUACAACCUCCGGGGAAAGGCAGGGGUUCUUCGGCCUUUGCGGGAUGGAAGAAGCCGAUGUCGGAUAAGCUAGUUGGCGGGGUAAAGGCCAACAAAGGCGACGAUCGGUAGCUGGUCUGAGAGGAUGAUCAGCCACACUGGAACUGAGACACGGCCCAGACUCCGACGGGAGGCAGCAGUGGGGAAUAUUGGACAAUGGGCGCAAGCCUGAUCCAGCCAUACCGCGUGGGUGAAGAAGGCCUUCGGGUUGUAGAGCCCUUUUGUUGGGAAAGAAAAGCAGCAGGUUAAUCCCCCGCUGUUCUGACGGUACCCAAAGAAUAAGCUCCGGCUAACUUCGUG